rnacentral:rRNA from 1 species
UACGAAGGGGGCUAGCGUUGCUCGGAAUCACUGGGCGUAAAGGGUGCGUAGGCGGUUCUUUAAGUCAGGUGGGAAAUCCUGGAGCUCAACUCCAGAACUGCCUUUGAUACUGAAGAUCUUGAGUUCGGGAGAGGUGAGUGGAACUGCGAGUGUAGAGGUGAAAUUCGUAGAUAUUCGCAAGAACACCAGUGGCGAAGGCGGCUCACUGGCCCGAUACUGACGCUGAGGCACGAAAGCGUGGGGAGCAAACAGG